UACGUAGGGACCAAGCGUUGUUCGGAUUUACUGGGCGUAAAGGGCGCGUAGGCGGCAAUUCAAGUCAUCUGUGAAAUCUCCGGGCUUAACUCGGAACGGUCAGAUGAUACUGCUUUGCUCGAGUGCGGAAGGGGCAAUCGGAAUUCUUGGUGUAGCGGUGAAAUGCGUAGAUAUCAAGAGGAACACCUGAGGUGAAGACGGGUUGCUGGGCCGACACUGACGCUGAGGCGCGAAAGCCAGGGGAGCGAACGGG
rnacentral:rRNA from 1 species